rnacentral:rRNA from 1 species
UACGUAGGGCGCAAGCGUUAUCCGGAAUUAUUGGGCGUAAAGAGCUCGUAGGCGGUUUGUCGCGUCUGCCGUGAAAGUCCGGGGCUCAACUCCGGAUCUGCGGUGGGUACGGGCAGACUAGAGUGAUGUAGGGGAGACUGGAAUUCCUGGUGUAGCGGUGAAAUGCGCAGAUAUCAGGAGGAACACCGAUGGCGAAGGCAGGUCUCUGGGCAUUAACUGACGCUGAGGACGAAAGCGUGGGGAGCAACAGG